UUGCAUAAAACAGGAAAAAAAAAAGCACAAGAGAUCUAGCUUACAAAAUGGGCUAAAAAAAAUGAAACUGUCCUUGCAAAACACACACUGUGAUGGAAGAAGAGACAUUUUUUAAUAGUAGUAUGCACCCUGCAGAAGCUGCGUUCGUUCCUGUUAGAAUUUGCCUUUGAGUCAUGUUGGAAGCCUUUAGGCAACACGUUAGAGGUCGGAGAACACCGGGCUUGCUGGCUUUGUUGUGCUGAAGGACAGCAGAUGUGAUAUCCUACGACCUGGGCCUGCUUUGUCACACUUGUUAAGUACAAAGUGCCAGAAAUGUACCCGGCUCUUGACAGAACAGGAGGCCCAAAAGGCUCUGCCCUUGCCGCUUUUCACUGCAGAGUAUGAAAGAGCUGCUCACCGUAACAGUAUCAGGUUGACCGCCAGAGACUGGUUUGAUCAUCAGGAGAUGCCAGCUGUCCCUGAAUUCUGAUCUCUGAAAGAAUGAUUGAAACUGAACACCAUGGCUGGAAAAAGCUAAAAAGGAUCCUACAAUUUAACUAAUCCAGGCAUCUGCAACUCUGACCCACUGGUCAAAUCUGGCCCAACAUUUUUGUAAAUAAAAUUUUAUUGAAAAACA